AGCGAACGCUGGCGGCAGGCUUAACACAUGCAAGUCGAGCGGGCACUUCGGUGUCAGCGGCAGACGGGUGAGUAACACGUGGGAACGUACCCUUCGGUUCGGAAUAACGCUGGGAAACUAGCGCUAAUACCGGAUACGCCCUUUUGGGGAAAGGUUUACUGCCGAAGGAUCGGCCCGCGUCUGAUUAGCUAGUUGGUGGGGUAAUGGCCUACCAAGGCGACGAUCAGUAGCUGGUCUGAGAGGAUGAUCAGCCACACUGGGACUGAGACACGGCCCAGACUCCUACGGGAGGCAGCAGUGGGGAAUAUUGGAAAAUGGGCGCAAGCCUGAUCCAGCCAUGCCGCGUGAGUGAUGAAGGCCUUAGGGUUGUAAAGCUCUUUUGUCCGGGACGAUAAUGACGGUACCGGAAGAAUAAGCCCCGGCUAACUUCGUG
rnacentral:rRNA from 1 species